GGGAAAGCGGUGGGAAGUUCGUACUGGGCAGAAGGCAAUGAGUCUGCGGCUCGGGUGAAAAUGCCUCGUGUAAAAGCAGCUCAAGCUGGAAGACUGGGCCCUGCAAAGAGACGUCAUGCAGAACAUUUUGCAGCCAGGGAGAUAAUCACUGACAUGACCAAAAAGGAAUGGAAACUAGGAUCACCCAUUGGCCGGGGUGGCUUUGGUUGUAUAUAUCUUGCUGAUAUGAAUUCUUCAAAAUCGGUGGGCUGCGACCCACCCUGUGUUGUAAAAGUGGAACCCAGUGACAAUGGACCUCUUUUUACUGAAUUAAAGUUCUACCAGUCAGUUGCCAAACCAGAACAAAUUCAGAAAUGGAUUCGUGCCCAUAAACUGAAGUACCUGGGUGUCCCUAAGUAUUGGGGGUCUGGUCUACAUGACAAAAAUGGAAAGUUAUAGGUUUAUGAUAAUGGAUCGCUUUGGGAGUGACCUUCAGAAAAUAUAUGAAGCAAAUGCCAAAAGGUUUUCUCGGAACACGGCCUUGCAGCUAAGCUUAAGAAUUCUGGAUAUUCUGGAAUAUAUUCAUGACCGUGAGUAUGUACAUGGAGAUAUCAAGGCAUCAAAUCUUCUUCUCAGCUACAAGAAUCCUGACCAGGUGUACUUGGCAGAUUAUGGCCUUGCUUAUCAGUACCUCCCAGAAGGAAUUCAUAAGGAAUACAAAGAAGACCCAAAAGAUGUCACGAUGGCACGACUGAGUUCACCAGCUUCGACGCGCACAAUGGUGUGGUCCCAUCAAGAUGUGGUGACCUGGAAAUCCUUGGUUAUUGCAUGAUCCAGUGGCUUAGUGGCCAUCUUCCUUGGGAGGAUAAUUUGAAAGAUCCUAACUAUGUUAGAGAUUCCAAAAUUAGAGGCAGAGAAAAUAUUGCAGGUUUGAUGGACAAAUGUUUUCCUGAGAAAAACAAGCCAGAUGAAAUUGCUAAGUACAUGGAAAUAGUGAAGUUACCGGAUUAUGCCAAAAAACCUCUCUAUGAAAAGUUACGGGAUAUUCUUUUGCAAGGACUGAAAGCUAUAGGAAGUAAGGAUGAUGGCAAGCUAGACCUCAGUGUUGUGGAGAACGGAGGCUGGAGAACAAUAACAAAGAAGAGAAAGAAAGGAAUUGAGGGAACCACAGAAUCUGGUGUUGAAGAUAUGCAGUGCUCAGGUACACAGGCAGAAGAGGCCACGCAAACCCGUUCGAAAACCGGAAAGAGAGUCCAGAAGUAA